UACGAAGGGGGCUAGCGUUGCUCGGAAUCACUGGGCGUAAAGCGCACGUAGGCGGCUUUCUAAGUCAGGGGUGAAGUCCUGGAGCUCAACUCCAGAACUGCCUUUGAUACUGGAGAGCUUGAGUCCGGAAGAGGUGAGUGGAACUCCGAGUGUAGAGGUGAAAUUCGUAGAUAUUCGGAAGAACACCAGUGGCGAAGGCGGCUCACUGGUCCGGUACUGACGCUGAGGUGCGAAAGUGUGGGGAGCGAACAGG
rnacentral:rRNA from 1 species